AUUGAACGCUGGCGGCAUGCUUUACACAUGCAAGUCGAACGGCAGCGCGGGCUUCGGCCUGGCGGCGAGUGGCGAACGGGUGAGUAAUGCAUCGGAACGUCCCCAGUAGUGGGGGAUAGCCCGGCGAAAGCCGGAUUAAUACCGCAUACGACCUGAGGGUGAAACCGGGGGACCGAAAGGCCUCGCGCUAUUGGAGCGGCCGAUGUCGGAUUAGCUAGUUGGUGGGGUAAAGGCUUACCAAGGCGACGAUUCGUAGCUGGUCUGAGAGGACGACAGGCCACAUUGGGACUGGGACACGGCCCAGACUCCUACGGGAGGCAGCAGUGGGGAAUUUUAGACAAUGGUGGCAACCCUGGUCCAGCCGUGCGGCGUGCGGGAAGAAAGCCUUCGGGUUGUAAACCGCUUUUGUUCGGGAAGAAAUCCUCUGGGCUAAUACCCCGGGGGGAUGACGGUACCGGAAGAAUAAGCACCGGCUAACUACGUG
rnacentral:rRNA from 1 species